CUUAGCAUAGACUGAGGAGGGAGAUACAAUCCCUACUCUAGAAGGAAAUGCAGUAUACAACAAAAGAAUGACAGGACCUGGCUCACCUGGUCCAGGAGAGCAUACAUAGGAGUGGAAGGAUGUUAGAUUGAGACAUUGGCAGAAUGUAAGGCUGGACAAGAGAUAACUUAUUAAAGCAUUCUCCUGACACUUUUAGUUUAAAAUCCUGGCAAAAAUAGCCAGAGGAGCCAGGUGCGGUGGCUCACGCCUAUAAUCCCAGCGCUUUCGGAGGCCAAGUUCCAUCAGGCAGAGAGAAGAAAACAUUUAGGCGAUGUUAAGGAGGAUAUUUUCAAAGAGAGAAAAACUGAAGAUGCCACUCAAAUAAAAUUUUAAGCUGGGGAUAAUUUGAAUCCUUCUUUUUGGAAAGUGGAUACUUUGUAAGCAAUAAUGUUUCAAUUCAGAGAUGCCUUUGUUCCAGAAGUUUUUGGCCCUUGAU
rnacentral:lncRNA from 1 species